rnacentral:tRNA from 1 species
GCUCGGGUGGCGGAAUUGGCAGACGCGCAUGGUUGAGGGCCAUGUGGAGAAAUCCGUGGGGGUUCGACUCCCCCCCCGAGCACCA